CCACCAACACCGCCACCGCCACCUCCUCCACCACCUCUGCCGCCGUCUAAAGUUUUCCAAAACCUGUUCAAGAAAAAUAGGAAAAGUAAACGUGUACAUUCCGAUCCUUCCACUGCAGCAACAGCAGCACCGCCUCCUCCACCUCCGCCGCCGCCUCCAAAUUCAAUUUUCAACAAUUUGUUCAAAACCGGCAGCAAAAGCAAACGAUUUCACAAAACAUCAUCAUCAACUCCUCCACCGCCUCCUCCUCCUCCGCCGCCACCUUCUUCAAUUCUCAACAAUUUGUUCAAACACGGAACCACAAGCAGGCGAUUCAAAUCAACUCCUCCACCUCCUCCUCCACCUCCACCGCAAGCACACGUGUCAUCAAGGCGGAGAAAAACUUCAACACAUUCUCAACCACCAAUGCAACAACCGGAACCUCCACGUCGACGUUCAUCAUAUUCCAGCAAACCUCCAUUGCCAACAAGACCAGUCACCAGUUACUAUGACGAUAACUUGAACAAUGGGUCACAAUCGCCGUUAAUACCAAUGCCGCCUCCGCCUCCUCCUCCGCUAUUCAAAAUGCGGGAGAUGAAGUUCGUUCCUUCCAGUGAUUUUUUCAGGAUACGGAGCGAGCACAGCUCUCGCUGCAGCUCGCCGGAAAUUGAAGAUGUUGACGUUGAUGAUGUGUCCGUCAGAUCGUCCUCGGAGGCAAUCGACGGUGAAGAUUUAACCGGGCCGUCGGUUAUUUGCCCGAGCCCGGAUGUUAACGCGAAAGCGGACUCUUUCAUUGCCCGGCUACG
rnacentral:lncRNA from 1 species